UAAAAAGGUAAGCUAAAUUAAGCUUUUGGGUUCAUACCCCAACUAUAGUAUACAUACUCUUUUUUA
rnacentral:tRNA from 1 species